rnacentral:rRNA from 1 species
AUACGGAGGGGGCAAGCGUUGUUCGGAAUUACUGGGCGUAAAGGGCUCGUAGGUGGUGACGUAAGCUGUGUGUGAAAUGCCUGGGCUUAACCGAGGAAUUGCAUGCAGAACUGCGUGACUAGAGUACAGUAGAGGGGGGUAGAAUUCCUAGUGUAGCGGUGAAAUGCGUAGAUAUCAGAAGGAAUACCAGUGGCGAAGGCGGCCCCCUGGCCCAAUACUGACGCUGAGGUACGAAAGCGUGGGUAGCGAACGGGAUUAGAAACCCCGGUAGUCC